rnacentral:rRNA from 1 species
UACGUAGGUGGCAAGCGUUGUCCGGAUUUAUUGGGUUUAAAGGGUGCGUAGGCGGGUAUUUAAGUCAGAGGUGAAAGACGGCCGCUCAACGGUCGCAGUGCCUUUGAUACUGGAUAUCUUGAGUGCAGACGAGGUCUGUGGAAUGGAUGGUGUAGCGGUGAAAUGCUUAGAUACCAUCCAGAAACACCCAAUUGCGAAGGCAGCAGACUAGGGUGCAACUGACGCCUGAGGCACGAAAGUGCGGGAUCAAACAGG